rnacentral:piRNA from 1 species
UGGUAGGGCCUCCUUGUGUACACACAGUA